GCCCACUGGAUAGCUCAGAUGGUUACAGAGUGGUGCUGAUAAUGCCAAGGUCACAGGUUCAAUCCCCAUAUAGGACA